CCAUGUUUUACCAAAUGAAAACUUGAGUUAUUUGAACACAUUCGUGGGGAAAAUGAGAAACUGAUAUUUCAAUUUUUUCUAUUUGAUUUUGUGUUUACUUCAAUUUACUUCAGGUGAGCAGCCAGAUAAGGAAGGGAAGGAUAACUCAGUGGUGACCAAUGGUCACCCUUAGGUUCACUCUUAAUCAUGCUCCAGGCUACAUCUAUCUCAAUAAAAGUAAGGUCAUUUCCUCUGCUCUUCUCCAGUGCUGGAUUCCCUCCCAAAUGCUUUUUUAUACUCAAGAAGAAUUGAUUUUAGUUUCUCAACACUCAAGCCAGGACCCACACCUGCUCCCUUGAGGUUGGAGGAGUCAUAAUCACUUCCUGAUGGCAAGUGCACUCUUGCAUGAGACCAUGAUCCUGGUGUGGUCACCAACUGCAAAGGCCUGGUGUUUAUGUGAAACCUAGCUAGUAGAAAACAUACUUCAUUUGCUUCCAUAUGGUUAGCACUAGGGUAAGUUUUCCUUGUCUGCUGAACUUUCCCAGGGCUGCCAAUGGUAAAUACCA
rnacentral:lncRNA from 1 species